UGGUAGAUGGAAAACCGGUGAAUCUG
rnacentral:piRNA from 1 species